rnacentral:lncRNA from 1 species
GUCACAGACACAGGAUGGGCAGUACAGUUCAGUCAGCAAGGGGAUCUGUUAAGGCUGAGGAACAUCUAUGCAUGAAUCAUUUGGGGUCAGAGCUUGUUCAAGAAACUCUUACUGCUUAGCAUCUCCUCAACUAGUCUGACUCACUUGGCAUUGUGACUGUAUGCAAGAAGAGACCUGUGGAAUGGUUUUUUAGCCAGUUUCCUGAAGUACCUUGUUUGUUUUUGAUUGGACUAUUUCCCUUACUUGUAUGGCACAACUGAAUGAGCAUAGCCAAGAGACCAGUCCCACUGCUGAGGAGUGACUGUGGGGGAAGAGGCGAGGAGAGUGCUGACUUGGCCUGGGCACUCCAGCAACAUGAAGUGUUGCAACAUGAAGUGUAAGGGCAUAAUAUCUGACCAGGAAGAUCAGUUGGUUAUCCUACGUACAGAAUGAGUUCGCAUCUUGUGUCAUGGUUUUAUGAUUUUUGGUCAUCAGUAUUCCACAUCACAACAUCAUGCAGUGUACUGGGAGUUAAAGAGCAAAUGCUUUAGUUCCGGGUACCUGUCUGGAAGAGAAGAAGAACUACGUUCCGCAAGAGCCUUUUUGAGUACUGUUAUCAUUCCUGCUCAGGGGAACAGAUAUAAGGACGCAGGUCAUCUGACUCGUCCCUCUUCUUGUCUUGCCAUGUUCCCUGCCAGAUCAGCUCGCUACUGCUGCUACC